rnacentral:rRNA from 1 species
AUUGAACGCUGGCGGCAUGCCUUACACAUGCAAGUCGAACGGCAGCAUGAUCUAGCUUGCUAGAUUGAUGGCGAGUGGCGAACGGGUGAGUAAUACAUCGGAACGUGCCCUGUAGGGGGGGAUAACUAGUCGAAAGAUUAGCUAAUACCGCAUACGACCUGAGGGUGAAAGUGGGGGACCGCAAGGCCUCAUGCUAUAGGAGCGGCCGAUGUCUGAUUAGCUAGUUGGUGAGGUAAAGGCUCACCAAGGCGACGAUCAGUAGCUGGUCUGAGGGGACGAUCAGCCACGCUGGGAAUGAGACACGGCCCAGACUCCUACGGGAGGCAGCAGUGCGGAAUUUUGGACAAUGGGGGCAACCCUGAUCCAGCAAUGCCGCGUGUGUGAAGAAGGCCUUCGGGUUGUAAAGCACUUUUGUCCGGAAAGAAAUCGCACUUACUAAUAUUAGGUGUGGAUGACGGUACCGGAAGAAUAAGGACCGGCUAACUACGUGCCAGCCGCCGCAGUAAAAC